CUGGAAUUGACACUGAGGCACGAAAGCGUGGGUAGCAAACAGGAUUAGAUACCCUGGUAGUCCACGCCGUAAACGAUGAGCACUAAGUGUCGGACGAAAGUUCGGUGCUGUAGUUAACGCAUUAAGUGCUCCGCCUGGGGAGUACGGUCGCAAGACUGAAACUCAAAGGAAUUGACGGGGACUCGCACAAGCGGUGGAGCAUGUGGUUUAAUUCGACGCAACGCGAAAAACCUUACCAGGCCUUGACAUCCCUUUGACGGGUGUAGAAAUACGCCUUUUCCCUUCGGGGGACAGAGGAGACAGGUGGUGCAUGGUUGUCGUCAGCUCGUGUCGUGAGAUGUUGGGUUAAGUCCCGCAACGAGCGCAACCCUUAUCAUUAGUUGCUAACAUUAAGUUGAGAACUCUAAUGAGACUGCCAGCGACAAGUUGGAGGAAGGUGGGGAUGACGUCAAAUCAUCAUGCCCCUUAUGACCUGGGCUACACACGUGCUACAAUGGCCGGUACAAAGAGUGGCGAUACCGCGAGGUGGAGCAAAUCUCAAAAAACCGGUCUCAGUUCAGAUUGUAGUCUGCAACUCGACUACAUGAAGUCGGAAUCGCUAGUAAUCGUAAAUCAGCAUGUUACGGUGAAUACGUUCUCGAGUCUUGUACACACCGCCCGUCACACCAUGAGAGUUUGUAAUACCCGAAGCCGGUGGCCUAACCGAAAGGAGGGAGCCGUCUAAGGUAGGACAGAUGAUUGGGGUGAAGUCGUAACAAGGUAUCCCUACGAGAACGUGGGGAUG
rnacentral:rRNA from 1 species